AGGGGCAGCAUGGUCUUAGCUUGCUAAGACUGAUGGCGACCGGCGCACGGGUGCGUAACGCGUAUGCAACUUGCCUCACAGAGGGGGAUAACCCGUCGAAAGACGAGCUAAUACCGCGUACACUUGGGAUAGGGCAUCCUAUCCCAAGGAAAUGAAAUUCGCUGUGAGAUAGGCAUGCGUCCCAUUAGCUAGUUGGUGAGGUAACGGCUCACCAAGGCGACGAUGGGUAGGGGAACUGAGAGGUUGAACCCCCACACUGGUACUGAGACACGGACCAGACUCCUACGGGAGGCAGCAGUUAGGAAUAUUGGUCAAUGGGCGAGACCUGAACCAGCCAAGUCGCGUGAAGGAUGACUGUCUUAUGGAUUGUAAACUUCUUUUAUACGGGAAUAACAAGAGUCACGUGUGACUCCCUGCAUGUACCGUAUGAAUAAGCAUCGGCUAACUCCGUGCCAGCAGCCGCGGUAAUACGGAGGAUGCGAGCGUUAUCCGGAUUUAUUGGGUUUAAAGGGUGCGUAGGCGCCCUGUUAAGUCAGCGGUGAAAUCUAGGAGCUUAACUCCUAAAUUGCCAUUGAUACUGGCGGGCUUGAGUGUAGAUGAGGUAGGCGGAAUGCGUGGUGUAGCGGUGGAAUGCAUAGAUAUCACGCAGAACUCCGAUUGUGAAGGCAGCUUACUAAGGUACAACUGACGCUGAAGCACGAAAGCGUGGGUAUCAAACAGGAUUAGAUACCCUGGUAGUCCACGCAGUAAACGAUGAUAACUGGGCGUAUGCGAUAUACAGUAUGCUCCUAAGC
rnacentral:rRNA from 1 species